rnacentral:lncRNA from 1 species
AUAUUAGUAACUGAAAAAAAAUGAAUAUAUAUUAAAAACUGGCAUUUCUUCAAUGUAGAAAUCCCACUAUAUAUCAACUAAGAGAUCUGGGUGUUUAACAGAAUUGUUAUCUAACAAACAGCUAACCAGAAAUCCUGGUUUGUUUGGGCAUCUGUAUCAUCCUCUCAGCUUCAGUAAAAUAAACCAAUGGGUUUCAGAGAUAUUGGAAAGGGGAAGAAGAAAAACAACCACAACACCUAGCCUAAAGGUUUGCAACAGAGUGGAACCUGCUGGAAAUGCUGAAAAGUGUUAUUAAACCAGAUGACAGAUGAAGUCUCUAACCUAAUCAUUUAA